UACGGAGGGUGCAAGCAUUGAUCGGAAUUACUGGGCGUAAAGGGCGCGUAGGCGGUCAAGAAAGUCAGAUGUGAAAUUCCGGAGCUCAACUCCGGAGCUGCAUUUGAAACUUCUUGACUAGAGUUCAGUUAGGGAAAACGGAAUUCCACGUGUAGCGGUGAAAUGCGUAGAUAUGUGGAAGAACACCGGUGGUGAAGACGGUUUUCUGGGCUGAUACUGACGCUGAGGUGCGAAAGCAAGGGGAGCAAACAGG
rnacentral:rRNA from 1 species